rnacentral:rRNA from 1 species
UACGUAGGGGGCGAGCGUUAAUCGGAAUUACUGGGCGUAAAGUGUGCGCAGGCGGCCGAGCAAGUCGAGUGUGAAAGCCCCGAGCUUAACUUGGGAACUGCGCUCGAAACUACUUGGCUAGAGUGUGGCAGAGGGAGGUGGAAUUCCACGUGUAGCGGUGAAAUGCGUAGAGAUGUGGAGGAACACCGAUGGCGAAGGCAGCCUCCUGGGCCAACACUGACGCUCAUGCACGAAAGCGUGGGGAGCAAACAGG